rnacentral:rRNA from 1 species
UACGUAGGGUGCAAGCGUUAAUCGGAAUUACUGGGCGUAAAGGGUGCGCAGGUGGCCGCGCAUGUCGAGUGUGAAAUCCCCGGGCUUAACUUGGGAAUUGCGCUCGAAACUACGUGGCUCGAGUGUGGCAGAGGAAGGUGGAAUUCCACGUGUAGCAGUGAAAUGCGUAGAGAUGUGGAGGAACACCGAUGGCGAAGGCAGCCUUCUGGGCCAACACUGACGCUCAUGCACGAAAGCGUGGGGAGCAAACAGG